UGCUGACAUAAGUAACGAUAAAGCGGGUGAAAAGCCCGCUCGCCGGAAGACCAAGGGUUCCUGUCCAACGUUAAUCGGGGCAGGGUGAGUCGACCCCUAAGGCGAGGCCGAAAGGCGUAGUCGAUGGGAAACAGGUUAAUAUUCCUGUACUUGGUGUUACUGCGAAGGGGGGACGGAGAAGGCUAUGUUAGCCGGGCGACGGUUGUCCCGGUUUAAGCAUGUAGGCUGGUUAUCCAGGCAAAUCCGGAUAAUCAAGGCUGAGGUGUGAUGACGAGCACUACGGUGCUGAAGUAACAAAUGCCCUGCUUCCAGGAAAAGCCUCUAAGCAUCAGGUAACAUCAAAUCGUACCCCAAACCGACACAGGUGGUCAGGUAGAGAAUACCAAGGCGCUUGAGAGAACUCGGGUGAAGGAACUAGGCAAAAUGGUGCCGUAACUUCGGGAGAAGGCACGCUGGUGUGUAGGUGAAGUCCCUGCGGAUGGAGCUGAGACCAGUCGAAGAUACCAGCUGGCUGCAACUGUUUAUUAAAAACACAGC
rnacentral:rRNA from 1 species